rnacentral:rRNA from 1 species
AUUGAACGCUGGCGGCAGGCCUAACACAUGCAAGUCGAGCGAGCGGCGGACGGGUGAGUAAUGUCUGGGAAACUGCCUGCAGGCGGGGGAUAACAACUGGAUACGAUCGCUAAUACCGCACACCAUCAGAUGUGCCCAGAUGGGAUUAGCUAGUCGGUGGGGUAACGGCUCACCUAGGCGACGAGCCCUAGCUGGACUGAGAGGAUGACCAGCCACACUGGAACUGAGACACGGUCCAGAUUCCUACGGGAGGCAGCAGUGGGGAAUCUUGCGCAAUGGGCGCAAGCCUGAUCCAGCCAUGCCGCGUGUGUGAAGAAGGCCUUCGGGUUGUAAAGCUCUUUCAGCGGGGAGGCGGUACCCGCAGAGGAAGCACCGGCUAACUCCGUGCCAGCCGCCGCGGUAAUAC